rnacentral:misc_RNA from 1 species
GACGGAGGGUGCAAGCGUUGUUCGGAAUCAUUGGGCGUAAAGGGCGCGCAGGCGGCCGGCCAAGUCCGGUGUGAAAGCCCGGGGCUUAACUCCGGAAGCGCAUCGGAAACUGGUUGGCUUGAGUCCGAGAGGGGCGCGUGGAACUUCUGGUGUAGGGGUGAAAUCCGUAGAGAUCAGAAGGAACACCGGAGGUGAAAACGACGGGCUGGAUCGGGACUGACGCUGAGGCGCGAAAGCGCGGGUAGCGAACAGG